GGAAAAAUGCCUCCGUGGAGAACUGCCCGCCUUCUGUGAUUGUUGUUUAUUAUUUCAAGCUUUCAAAUUGUUGCAUGUGUCGUCUUCCUCAGGGGGUGGAAAGCUCUGUUUUUGUUUGAGUGGUCUGAGCGUAAGCAAACAGAACCAACAGUGACAUAGACCACACAACUCCAGAUGUGUCCGUUCGUCUGAGGCUCUGAGCCCCUUGUCAGGCCUUCUUUCCAGCUGUGAUUGAGGCCUCUCCCUACGCAAACAUGGCUUUUGUACGGCAUUCAAUGUCAGUCAACCCGACAAUAAGAAAUCUCACCCUUUUAUUAUUAGGCUAAGACUUGACACCAAGAAAAAACAUCCUUCCAUAAUAAUUUAACGGGCUCUAUCCUGCCUUUCGAUCAUCUCUCCUUCAUUUGGCGGGACAAAUGAGAGAGUCAAAAAAAGAGAAGAAAUCUCUCCGCACACAAGGAAGGGUUGUCUCAAAGGCUAAGCGAAAGCUUUGCAUUUAAUCCAGUAAACAUGACGGUGGAGAGACUUGAUCAAACCUGGAUUUGAAUGGGGAGCUCUUAUCUUACCACGAGCCUCUUGUGAAAUAACAUACCAUGUAUGAACUCAAAGAAAUCACAGACGUGUUCUUCAAACAGAUUCCCCACCGCUUUCCUCUCCUCCCUGCUCUCCUUCACUGGCUUUCUCUCCCUCUCCCCCGAUCAACAGCGCAUAGACGUUAAUCCACCACUAGCAAUAACAAAUAAUGAAAUUGGGAAAAUAAGUUGCAACAUGGUAGAAAGAAAAUAUUGUUUUCCCGAAAAUAAACCACAGUCCGCUUUGUAUUGCAAAACAGCACCGUGUCAACAGUGUCAGGCGUCCAACACUCCGCGCCAAGGUCUCUGGGCUCUGGUGGAGAAAAACAUGCUGGUCGGAAGAUUGCCACGGGAGAUUGGAACAGAGACUAAACAUUGAGCGUCUAAUAGUCAAUUCCUGGAGUAAAUGCAGGCACCGAAUUGGUGAAACCACCCAUGAAUUGGUCUCCAGUCUCACCCGGAGAGAGACAAUGAAAUGGUAGUGGGAAAAGGAAGUAACACAUUACAUGACAUAUUUCCUUAGGGCCCCGAGCAAACCAACAAGCUAGCUUCCUCCAUCAUGACCUGAUGGUCAUCUCUGUGUUUUGUCAUAGCUAGUUUUUUUACUAUUCUUUCUAACGAAUCACUUUGAAUGUCAGUUCAAAUUUUAUUUGGAUGGAAACUUAGUUUGUAUAAUCACUUGAUUACUUUUCUUAUCUCAUACUACUUUGGAGGUUAGGAAACAUUUUGAACAGGCUUUCCCACUGGGCACAGGUGUCAAUACAGCGUCUCUUCCAUGUUGGUUCAAGGUCAUUUUAUUGAAAUGACGUGGAAACAACGUUGAUUCAACCAGUGCGUGUUGAACGGAUUAUAAUGUACAAGGCCUUAAAGGGGCAUUUCACCCUGGCUCUGCCACGACGUGUAGUCAUUACUAUAUUAAUAAUAUACGUUUUUAUCAUAAACAUCACAAUUAUCUAAACCACUAGCUAGAACUUGCACAUUUUCAUUUUACUGGUAGAAUCCGGAAGUUUCGACUCCCUGAUGAACCACAAAGUCCAGCACUUAUAGCGAAUGCUGAUACUGCCCGCUAGGUAGAGGGGGCGUGCCCAAAAACGUCAAUAAUGGCAUUGUUUACUAUGAACGACCAACACACAAAAAUGUGUGUGUGUGUGUGUGCGGGCUUGUAUGUGAAAUUAGUGCCUUUGAUAUUUUAAGUUGAAAUUGUACACCAAUAUUGAAUUUUAAAAGCCUGUUAUGUUAAAUGAAGUGCCAUUUAAUAUAGACAACAUGGAUAAUUCAAUCAAUCAGAUUUUGCAUUGAUGAAUGUGUAUAAAUCGUCUAUGGUUGGUUAGUUGGUUCUCAGCCAGUCUCAGCUGGCUAGCAAUCUUGCUACCAAUUUAGUGAUGCUAGUUAGCUAACAGCAAGCUGACGAUAUUGAAAUGUCCAUGUUAGGAAUGCUUAGCUAGCCAGUUUAAUAGAGGUCAAUACAAUUAGUGGGGUGGUUAAAUUGUGUAUUGUUGUGUAUUUUGUUGUAGGUGCUACAGAAUCUGAUUCCACCAACAUGCACUUCCAACCACUGGCUCUGCUCAAUAUGAAGUUAAAUUGGCCAAAUAUGUACAAACUGAUGGCUAAGACAGCUCAAUUUAGAGUAAGCAUGGUAUAAACAUUAAUUGGGUAGUGUUUGUAUGGUUUGUGUUGUGUUCUGGGGUUACAGGUGGUUCGAGGUAGCCAGAGGACCACAGAGUACCUUCCAGAACAAUUUAGUCUACCCCUCUUCUCUUCUUACCUUUUCUAUUUGUACAACUCAGGUUAUCUGGAGUCAUUCCGCGGUGCCCCAAAGUGGGGGCCUUUUGAGUGCACAAGCAUGAGGGAGCGGACACAGUUAUGGAGCACAUUGGGACAGAAACCAGCAAGUGACACUGAAAGAGGACCUGAGCCCUAGGACCAUGCUUCAGGACUACCUGACAUGAUGACUCCUUGCUGUCCCCAGUCCACCUGGCCGUGCUGCUGCUCCAGUUUCAACUGUUCUGCCUUAUUAUUAUUGGACCAUGCUGGUCAUUUAUGAACAUUUGAACAUCUUUGUCAUGUUCUGUUAUAAUCUCCACCCGGCACAGCCAGAAGAGGACUGGCCACCCCACAUAGCCUGGUUCCUCUCUAGGUUUCUUCCUAGGUUUUGCCCUUUCUAGGGAGUUUUUCCUAGCCACCGUGCUUCUACACCUGCAUUGCUUGCUGUUUGGGGUUUUAGGCUGGGUUUCUGUACAGCACUUUGAGAUAUCAGCUGAUGUACGAAGGGCUAUAUAAAUACAUUUGAUUUGAUUUGAUUUGAUGACUGAACAGAGAUUACAUUCUGGCAGUGUGAAAGUGGCAGGGCUGAGUAUUUGUAGAGGUCUUGAUUAUGGAACAGGUUGCAGCUGGUGGUGAUCUGCUCUGACUCCAGCACAACUGUCUCCGCCCACACAAUCACACACAAAGAGAGAGAGGGAGAGGGAGAGAGUACUGGGGGAGUGAAGGCACGUCAAGGAGACACAGGAUGAGAAGUAGAGGGCGGUGCAGGAGCAAAUGUGACAGGCACAGAGAUUACAUUUACAACUAUAUCUAGCCUAAUAGUGUCACGUGUGCUCCCUCUCCGGCCUCUAGGUCACCAGGCUGCUCGUUAUGGCUCACACCUGUCACCAUUGAUGCGCGCACCUGUGCGUCAUCAGACUCACCUGGACUCCAUCACUUCCCUGAUUACCUUCCCUAUAUAUGUCUCUCCCUUAGGUUCCUUCCCCAGGCAUUAUUGUUUCUGUUCCAGUGUCAUGUCUGUUCGUGGUUCUUGUUUUUUUACUGUCACGUGUGCUCCCUCUCUGGCCUCUAAGUCACCAGGCUGCUCGUUAUGGCUCACACUUGUCACCAUCGUUACGCGCACCUGCGUGUCAUCAGACUCACCUGGACUCCAUCACUUCCCUGAUUACCUUCCCUAUAUACAGUGCCUUGCGAAAGUAUUCGGCCCCCGGCUUUAAACUUCUUCACAACAGUAUCUCGGACCUGCCUGGUGUGUUCCUUGUUCUUCAUGAUGCUCUCUGCGCUUUUAACGGACCUCUGAGACUAUCACAGUGCAGGUGCAUUUAUACGGAGACUUGAUUACACACAGGUGGAUUGGAUUUAUCAUCAUUAGUCAUUUAGGUCAACAUUGGAUCAUUCAGAGAUCCUCACUGAACUUCUGGAGAGAGUUUGCUGCACUGAAAGUAAAGAGGCUGAAUAAUUUUGCACGCCCAAUUUUUCAGUUUUUGAUUUGUUAAAAAAGUUUGAAAUAUCCAAUAAAUGUCAUUCCACUUCAUGAUUGUGUCCCACUUGUUGUUGAUUCUUCACAAAAAAAUACAGUUUUAUAUCUUUGUUUGAAGCCUGAAAUGUGGCAAAAGGUCGCAAAGUUCAAGGGGGCCGAAUAGUUUCGCAAGGCACUGUAUGUCACUCCCUUUCGUUCCUUACCCAGGCGUUAUUGUUUCUGUUCCUUUGUCAUGUCUGUGCGUUGUUCGUGUUUCUUAUUUUGUAUUAUGUUACAUUUAUUUAUUUAAACACUCACCCCCUGAACUUGCUUGCCGACUCUCAGCGCACUCGUUACAAAUAGAAAGAAAUAUGGCAUAACCCUCAACAAUUGAACAGUGACAAGACCGUACAAAUGAGCAUACUGUAGGUAGGUAUGCAGACAGUAUCUACCUACAGCCAUGUCUAUCAGGCAUGCUUAGGCAAAUAUUCUUUAUAGUAAACCAGCGUCAUUUUUAGAGAUAUACAACUGUAAAUUGUUGUAUUAUUAUUUCUCCUCAUUGUUUGCUAGGUAACUUAGCUAGCUAGCUUGCUAGAUAUACAAUACUUGAUAUUUAAAUCUGUUUGGAAUCCUAUCUUGCGUCAUGCCUAUAAUUCUGUGAGAUUGAAAUGCAUCCAAGUUCAUAAUCAUAACUGAUGUCAACCCUCGUCAAUUGUGUUACAUAGCUAGCUAGUAAAAUUAUUUACAGUUGCUGAUUUUAUACCUGUUUGCUAACAAGUUACAGAUACGAGCAGUGGUAUAAAGUACUUAAGUAAAAGUACUACUUAAGUCGUUCUUUGGGGUAUCUGUACUUUACUUUACUAUUUCUAUUUUUGAAAAAUGUACUUUUACUCUACUACAUUCCAGAAUAAACACAGAAAUGUCUGCA
ensembl:lncRNA